UAACAAGGAUUCCCCUAGUAACUGCGAGUGAAGCGGGAAGAGCUCAAAUUUAAAAUCUGGCGGCUUCUAGUCGUCCGAGUUGUAACCUGGAGAGGCAUUUUCCGCGUUGGACCGUGUACAAGUCUCCUGGAAUGGAGCGUCAUAGAGGGUGAGAAUCCCGUCCAUGACACGGACCGCCAAUGCUCUGUGAUAUGCCUUCAAAGAGUCGCGUUGUUUGGGAAUGCAGCGCAAAAUGGGUGGUAAAUUCCAUCUAAAGCUAAAUAUUGGCGAGAGACCGAUAGCGAACAAGUACCGUGAGGGAAAGAUGAAAAGCACUUUGAAAAGAGAGUUAAACAGUACGUGAAAUUGUUGAAAGGGAAACGCUUGAAGUCAGUCGCGUUCCGUGGAACUCAGCCUUACUUCGGUUUGGUGUACUUUCCAUGUGAACGGGUCAACGUCAAUUUUGACCGGUGGACAAAGACAAAGGGAAUGUAGCGUUGCUUCGGUGACGUGUUAUAGCCCCUUGUUGUAUACACCGGCUGGGAUUGAGGACUGCAGCACGCCCUUGUGGCCGAGGGGUUCGCCCCUACGUACCGUGCUUAGGAUGUUGGCAUAAUGGCUUUAAGCGACCCGUCUUGAAACACGGACCAAGGAGUCUAACAUGCUUGCGAGUGUUCGGGUGGAAAACCCUUGCGCGUAAUGAAAGUGAAAGUUAGGAACCUUCUCGCAAGAGAGGGUGCACUGACGCCCGGCCCUGACGUUCUCUGACGGUGCUGCGGUAGAGCAAGUAUGUUGGGACCCGAAAGAUGGUGAACUAUGCCUGAAUAGGGCGAAGCCAGAGGAAACUCUGGUGGAGGCUCGUAGCGAUUCUGACGUGCAAAUCGAUCGUCAAAUUUGGG
rnacentral:rRNA from 1 species